rnacentral:tRNA from 1 species
GAAUUUGGAGCUCAAUGGUAGAGCACUUGCCUUGCAUGUAUGAGGCUCUGGGUUCGAUCUUCAGCAACA